ensembl:lncRNA
CGCAGGGGGCGUGGCCUGUCCGUUAAUUGGCUUGGCGGGAACCAGGUGCGGCGCGGAGGAGGCGAAGGGCCGCUCCGGAGUCCCGCCGCCCGCUCCUCCACCCUCCUGCUACUGACGUAGUUUAACGUUUGAGAUUCCUUUUUGCUGCACAUCAUCACGGACAACAUUAGUAACUACAAUGUGAGCGAAGACGACACGGAGACGGACUGAACAAAGCGACCUGCACUGAGGGGCGGUGUUAUGCUAAUGGCUCUUAGACAGUUAACACAAUGCCAGAAGGGAGGUGGAGCGGCUGCAGCCUCAGCCGGCAGCGUGACCGAUGGACGGACUCCAUCCAGGACACGCUGUUGUUUUCUCAAUUAUUUACGCAACAGCAGUAAAGAACAACACGAAGGAAUGAUGAAGGCAAAGUUGGCUUAUAAAACAAUUGAUAGUUAAUGUGCGUAUUUAUUGGGCUUGGAAAGAGAAAUGCAAUACAAG